GUGAAGGCGAUGAUGUUGAAAACUACCUAUUUUAUGAAGGAAUUGAGAAUUUUCCUUUAUGAUUAGUAAAAUUACCAAUGGAUCCUUCUGAGCCUUCA
rnacentral:snoRNA from 2 species